rnacentral:rRNA from 1 species
AUGAACGCUGGCGGCGUGCCUAAUACAUGCAAGUCGAGCGAACGGACGAGAAGCUUGCUUCUCUGAUGUUAGCGGCGGACGGGUGAGUAACACGUGGAUAACCUACCUAUAAGACUGGGAUAACUUCGGGAAACCGGAGCUAAUACCGGAUAAUAUUUUGAACCGCAUGGUUCAAAAGUGAAAGACGGUCUUGCUGUCACUUAUAGAUGGAUCCGCGCUGCAUUAGCUAGUUGGUAAGGUACCGGCUUACCAAGGCAACGAUGCAUAGCCGACCUGAGAGGGUGAUCGGCCACACUGGAACUGAGACACGGUCCAGACUCCUACGGGAGGCAGCAGUAGGGAAUCUUCCGCAAUGGGCGAAAGCCUGACGGAGCAACGCCGCGUGAGUGAUGAAGGUCUUCGGAUCGUAAAACUCUGUUAUUAGGGAAGAACAUAUGUGUAAGUAACUGUGCACAUCUUGACGGUACCUAAUCAGAAAGCCACGGCUAACUACGUG